UACUCCUACGGGACGCAGCAGUGGGGGAUAUUGCACAAUGGAGGAAACUCUGAUGCAGCGACGCUGCGUGAGGGAAGACGGUCUUCGGAUUGUAAACCUCUGUCUUUGGGGGAGAAAAUGACGGUACCCAAAGAGGAAGCUCCGGCUGACUACGUGCCAGCAGCCGCGGUAAUACGUAGGGAGCGAGCGUUGUCCGGAAUUACUGGGUGUAAAGGGAGCGUAGGCGGGCGAGAAAGUUGAAUGUUAAAUCUACCGGCUUAACUGGUAGCUGCGUUCAAAACUUCUUGUCUUGA
rnacentral:rRNA from 1 species